ensembl:lncRNA
UUCUAGUUCUGUCUGUCUCUUCCUGGUUAUGGAUUCUAGUUCUGUCUGUCUCUUCCUGGUUAUGGAUUCUAGUUCUGCCUGUCUCUUCCUGGUUAUGGAUUCUAGUUCUGCCUGUCUCUUCCUGGUUAUGGAUUCCAUUGCUAUCUGUGUUUAGUUCUGUCUUCGUUUUAAGAAUUAUGUCGUCAGUUAAUGGAGAAAGAAAGAGAAAGCAUGUCUUGUGUUUAAAAUGUAAGAGUCUGAUCUGAUUCAUUUAUAUCAGGGCAAGCCGUAGAUAUACAUAACAGAGUUCUGGAAACUAUCCUCCAUUUCAGCUCCAAAUUUCCAAUCCCAAUCUCUAUGGAUAACUCUAUUUCUGGGUAAAUCUUUGAGUCUUCUUGGUUUUGCCCUCUCCCACGCCCUGAGUUUAUUUGCACAGUGACAGUGGACCAGGCCUGUCCCGUCUUAGAGAUGAAGUGCAGUGAGGAAAAAAAUAAUGUCAAAAAAUUUGUCCAAGUCAACGUGGAUUUCCUUGUUGUUAUUACUGUCAUCGUCCAAUUUGUGCUUCACUACAAAGCCUGAGAUUUGGAUUGAAUCCCAAAUGGUGUGCUGUAUGUUGCUCCUAGCCUGUGUGGUUGUCAGAUGUGUUUCAGCUUUUGCCCACUUUAGUAAGUAAACUGCUUUUGUUGACUCAAACAUUGGUUGGUUGUAGUGACAGUGCCAUUGUGUCAAUAAUGAGGAAAGCCAAAAUGCCAAAGGUUGGGCCUUUUGGCAAUUUGAAGAGAUCAUUAAAAAAAUGUUUUCUAGGACUCUUCUGUUGACGAUGUAUAAAAUGUAUGUUGGUCUGAUGUGUAUGAGGAAGGGAAUCCAGAUGUGUAUGAGGAAGGGAAUCCAGAUGUGUAUGAGGAAGGGAAUCCAGAUGUGUAUGAGGAAGAGAAUCCAGGUGUGUAUGAGGAAGGGAAUCCAGGUGUGUAUGAGGAAGGGAAUCCAGGUGUGUAUGAGGAAGGGAAUCCAGGUGUGUAUGAGGAAGGGAAUCCAGGUGUGUAUGAGGAAGGGAAUCCAGGUGUGUAUGAGGAAGGGAAUCCAGAUGUGUAUGAGGAAGGGAAUCCAGUUGUGUAUGAGGAAGGGAAUCCAGAUGUGUAUGAGGAAGGUUAUCCAGGUGUGUAUGAGGAAGAGAAUCCAGAUGUAGUACUGGAAGUAUUUGUAGAAAUAUUCCUGCCAGUUGUUGCCCAGCACCUGUUUAGUAUAUAACUGGAAGAACUGUUAGGGCCCCUGGAUCGAUGAUGAAUUUAAGAAUCGUAUGGUUCAAAGACACAAUGAAAAAGAGGUGACAUCACAAGUCAGGCUGCUCAGCUGAUUGGUUGACAUUCUGUAACUUGAGACAUUUUGUGACUAAACUUAACAAAAAUCAAUAAAUAAAAAUUAUAUUUCCAAACCAAGAUAAAUGACAUAAAACACAAUGGAAAAGGCUUUGGAGAACCUUAAAUUAUAUCAUGGGCAGAAAACCCAAUUCAUUUCCAUCGUUCAUUGAAGUUUAUGGAUAAUUUAUAACAAAACCUUUUGAUAUUAACCAAUCAUUUCAAUGACUAUUUAACUAGUAAAGUGGAAAAACUCAGAGGUGAAAUUAAAACAUUGAACAAGUGAACCAUCAUAUGUUUAUAUAAAAUAUCUAAUAAUGAAAAAGGAUUUUGCUGUUUUCAAUUUGGUCAAGUUAGUGUUGGAGAGGUGGAAAAACCAUUGUUAUCUAUCAAUAAUGAUAAGCCUAUAGGUAUAGACAACCAUGAUGGGGAACUAUAUAGAAUGGCAGCAGACUGUAUCGCCACCCCUAUUUGCUCUGUCUUUAACCAAAGCCUAAAGGAGUGGGUGUGUCCACAGGCGUGGAAGGAAGUUAAACCAAAUCCACUGCCUAAAAAUAGUAAAGCACCCUUUGCUGGCUCUAACAGCCGACCAAUCAGUUUGCUGCCUGUUCUUAUUAAACUGAUGGAGACAAUUGUGUUUGACCAAAUACAAUGCCAUUUUUCAGAGAACAAGUUAACUCCUGACUUUCAACAUGGGGCACUCAACUUGUACGGCACUGACUCAGAUGACUGAUGAUUGGUUAAAAGAAACGGAUAGUAAGAUAAUAGUCGGAGCUGAAAUGUUAGAUUUCAUUGAGGCCUUUGAUGUUUAUUGAAGAAACUCACUUGCUAUGGUUUUACAUCACCUGCCAUUGGAAUGGGUUAGAAUGUUGGAUAAAUUACAUUCCAUUGGGUUGGAAUGUUAUUUAUCCAAUAGGACCCAGAGAGUGUUCUUCAAUGGAAGCUUCUCUAACAUCAGAUAUGUACAGUGCGGUGUCCCUCAGGGCAGUUGACUUGGGCACUUCCUCUUCUCUAUUAUUCCAAAUGAGUUGCCACUGGUCUUACACAAAGCUACAAUGACUAAUGCUGAUGAUUCCACAGUCUACAUGUCAGCACCCAAAGCCAGUGAGCUCACUGAAAUUCUAGUUACAGUUAGUAUCAGAAUGGGUCAUUAAUACUGAACUGGUUUUUAAUAAAUAUAGAACUAAAAGCAUUGUGUUUGGUUCAAAAACAUUCUCUAAGACCUAAACCUAAACUGGAGUUGUACAUAAAGGGUGUGGAAGACGUGGAUGUCGAUUAAGGCAGCCCCCCGCACCUCUCUGAUUCAGAGUGGUUGGGUUAAAUGCGGAAGACACAUUUCAGUUUAAUACAUUCAGUUGGACAACUGACUAGGUAUCCCCCCUUUUCCCCAUUGAGCAAGUUGAGGAAGCUAAACUCUUAGCUUGUUAUAAAAACAUGUUCUGUAUUUUUGACACAAAGAUCAACUGAACUAGUUGUUCAGGCUCUGAUCUUGUCUGACCUUGAUAACCGUCCGCCAAUAUGGUCAAGUGUAUCAAAGAAAGACCAAGCAAAAGCUGUAGCUCAAAACAGAGCAUCACCUUUAAAGGCCCAUAUACAAUUAACAUCAACAACAUCAACUACAUCAACUAACAUCAACAACAUCAACUAACAACAUCAACUAACAUCAACUUUCCUGGUUGAGGAUUAACGAGAAAUUAACUACUUUUCUUCUAGUUUUUAUGAGAGAAAAAUUACUGUGAUGAAAACUGCAGAUUGUCUGCAUCAUCAAAUAACAUUCAGCUCAGACACCCCAUACAUACCCAACAAGACAUGCCACCAGGGGUCUCUUCAGACACCCCAUACAUACCCAACAAGACAUGCCACCAGGGGUCUCUUCAGACACCCCAUACAUACCCAACAAGACAUGCCACCAGGGGUCUCUUCAGCCACCCCAUACAUACCCAACAAGACAUGCCACCAGGGGUCUCUUCAGACACCCCAUACAUACCCAACAAGACAUGCCACCAGGGGUCUCUUCAGCCACCCCAUACAUACCCAACAAGACAUGACCAGGGGUCUCUUCAGACACCCCAUACAUACCCAACAAGACAUGCCACCAGGGGUCUCUUCAGACACCCCAUACAUACCCAACAAGACAUGCCACCAGGGGUCUCUUCAGCCACCCCAUACAUACCCAACAAGACAUGCCACCAGGGGUCUCUUCAGACACCCCAAACAUACCCAACAAGACAUGCCACCAGGGGUCUCUUCAGACACCCCAUACAUACCCAACAAGACAUGAAUUCUUCAGACACCCCAUACAUACCCAACAAGACAUGCCACCAGGGGUCUCUUCAGACACCCCAUACAUACCCAACAAGACAUGCCACCAGGGGUCUCUUCAGACACCCCAUACAUACCCAACAAGACAUGACC